AUUGAACGCUGGCGGCAGGCCUAACACAUGCAAGUCGAGCGGAUGAAGGGAGCUUGCUCCUGGAUUCAGCGGCGGACGGGUGAGUAAUGCCUAGGAAUCUGCCUGGUAGUGGGGGAUAACGUCUGGAAACGGGCGCUAAUACCGCAUACGUCCUGCGGGAGAAAGUGGGGGAUCUUCGGACCUCACGCUAUCAGAUGAGCCUAGGUCGGAUUAGCUAGUUGGUGGGGUAAAGGCCUACCAAGGCGACGAUCCGUAACUGGUCUGAGAGGAUGAUCAGUCACACUGGAACUGAGACACGGUCCAGACUCCUACGGGAGGCAGCAGUGGGGAAUAUUGGACAAUGGGCGAAAGCCUGAUCCAGCCAUGCCGCGUGUGUGAAGAAGGUCUUCGGAUUGUAAAGCACUUUAAGUUGGGAGGAAGGGCAGUAAGUUAAUACCUUGCUGUUUUGACGGUACCGACAGAAUAAGCACCGGCUAACUUCGUG
rnacentral:rRNA from 1 species